CUGAAAACAUGCAGCAUCUUGGUUUUUUCCUUCAGUCACCAUGUAAAUAGCCUCAAUCUGAGCAACACAGGUGAAAUGGUUUUGCAGUUGGGAGAUGUGGAGCCUUUCCAGGGAGGUUUGCAUGAGCAACAGCUAAAGUUGAGGAGACCCUUUUGAUCACAUGUGUUAGCGAUGUAUUUUGCUCCUUUCAGCUAUGCAAUAAACUGGACAAAAGCAAACAAAAAACAAAUGUACGCAAAACAAACAAACAAAAAAAAAGAUUUCAAAUUGAAGCUACUAAAAUUUUCUCAAAAUUACCAAAUUAAAAGCCCUAAGACAUAUGUGCAAUUAGUCCAAAAUACAUUCACACUUUUUAAUUCUAGCCUAGAAUAAUUGCUUUGGAAGGAAGAAGACAUUUACUGUAAAUGAAAUGUAUGCAACUUGAAACCAAGACAUAUACAAGUCAAAAAGGUCCUCUUAGUUUUUUUGGGGGUGAACUUUGCGUCUGGCCUUUUUAUAUUCAGUGAUUACACAUAACUAUGAUUUAGUUAAAGUUUUUUUUCUCUGCAAAAACUGAGAGCAUGUUCAGAAGAACAUGUCCUUAUGUUUGCCCUUUAAAGGUCUAAAACUCUCUCUGUGGCAGGGAUUUCUAUUUUAGGCUCCAACAUUAUCCUAAUGAGCACAGGUCCUACAGCCAAAUUAUUAUUAUUAUUACAUUGUUUACAACAGGCAUAAAAGUUGACUUUGCCUCAGAAUAACAAAAUCAUGCCCGCCAUUGGUCAGCGGGUUAUGCAAGCCAAGCAGCUGUUAUAUAAAUCCAGUCAGUGCUGGUUACACCAGGCUCAACAAAAGGUCAUGAGUAGACCCACUCAUACCUUGAUCUGAAUGGAAUCAGAAACCAUCAUGAGAUCUAAGGCUGCAUCACUUAGACGUAAAACUCAGAGGUUUAAGGCUUUAACCUCGUUGCAGCAGAUAUCUUGAUAAUGCUGGAUUUAGACUCUGAACGUCUGUUGGCUUGAUCUGCACAGAUUGAACAUCCAUUACAUUACUGUUUCCGGAAUGUUGGAUCUCCCUAUAUUUUCCUUUUAACCUUUGCCUGUGUCUAAGAGAAGCCAUGACCCCCAUCUCUGACCCACACACACACAUUAAAAAUUAAUUACAAACUUUUUACAGACAUACUAUUUGGUGUGUUAUUGGGGAUUCGAAAAAGUAUUUUUUUUAAAAUACUAUCUUGGUAACCUUGGCUUGCUUUUAGCACCUCCUAGUGUUCAGUUAAGGAAACCAAAGACGUAUCUCCUGGCUGUGCGUUAGUCCUUCUAACACCUUAAUCUAACAGCUGAAAUAUCUCCCCAGUCUUCAUUAGUGUCUACAGGAGCGAUUCAACACUAAAUCAAAUAAAUCAGUUGUGUUCAUGAUCUAAACCAUGGAAACGUGCUAGAACAAGACUCUAGCAGCUGCUGAUAGGGAUGAAUGAACAGGAGUGAAAAUCUAAAUAACAGGAAUUUCUUUACACCUUUUCUUUAUCAUCAAAACACUGAACAAUGAUGACUAUAGCCCAUGUCGGUCAUGUGAUCCGGUUUUCAUGGCAUGCAGAAAUCCGUGGGGAGGCAUGCGGUUUGAACUCAUUCCAGUAACCAUCAGCUUAACAUCUGUGCAUUUUACUGCACAUGUGUCUGCAUGUGCAUGCAUUCUGCACAUACAUCAGCAUCUGUGAGCGGCUUCAUUAUUCUGCUGUUUCUUCGUGGAUUAAUCAUUCGUUAAGCUCCUCAUGUUGGUUAUUUUGUUUUUGGCCUGCGUGAAAUCCGAGGAGGAUUGCUCAGGAGCUUAUAUAUUUGAUUACUGUGGAUAAUCAUUUAAUAUAACACCAAGUUCAGGUGCAGGAGUCCAAAACAGAGUGCAAAUGAAAAGAAAUGAGAAUGCCAAACACAGGAACUGGAAAACAAUUGCUUUUAAAGAAAUAGAACAUUGGGAAGUGAAAAUAAAAUAAAAACAUUAUUUUUAUUGCUAGUUUUUAUUCUUGCCAGCAGAAUUAAAAUGCACAAACAAUAAUGGGCAGAAAAUAAAUAAUUUUGAAAGAAAACUUGAAUGAGUUUUGUUUAAUUUUUUUAUGUAACUUAUUUAAAGCUGUCCUAUUUAAAAUAAACCUCUGAAACGUCACAUUCUUUUAGAUCACAUGGUAACAACAGCAUGGGUGGGGUGGGUGGUGGAGCUUUUAGUUAGAUAUUAAAAAUAGUAAAAAAAUACUAAACAUUCCAGGGUUUAAUGAAAAACAUAAAAAGUGUUUUGAUCCUAUUUUUUUACAUGUGUGCUUUUACAUCAAUCUAAUUGGUCUCAAAUAGAUUUUUUCCCACUAAUUAUUCUUGGAUAUCUGCUAAAAAUACCAGAAGAAUUUACAGACUGGAAAACAAAAAUCUUUGUUUGAGGCUCAGGGGACCACAGCUCAUCACCGCUUGCUCCCACCCUGUUGGGUCGUCAAAUUAGAAGCAACUCUAAACACAGAAGAAAUCUCCAAGUCCCUGUUACAGACCUGCAGAGUUUUUCAAAGUGUCUUCAUGCUGCUACUGGAUAAUCACUGUGCCUCUGUACCACUCAACUCUGAGACCCAGAGUGCUCAGCUAUGAGGUCAUCAUCACAAACAUUAAGAGAAGACAGGAUUUUCACAUGGAGUUAAAACAAUUAAAAACACAAACAUGCACUGAUUUCAUUUGGUUCCAGAACAAGAGAAAGUUUGCAUUACCAAUUUCUUCUGGGAUAAAUGACUGAGUGUUGCAGAGGAUCGAAAGCACAUCAACCAGGAUGGGAAGUGAAACAGCAGAGGAUGCAUUUGGUCAAGACAACUAAGGAAAUUGUAUAUUUUUUUGUUUUACAUAUUUAAAGACAAUCAUCUUCUUCCCUUUGUAAAUAACCUGCACCAGGAUUUUCAACGAUAAGCUGGAGACAAAUAAAGUUCUGAGGACAAUGUCACCCAGACAAGACUCAUGUACAUCAGAAUUUCAGCUUUUUUCCUUUAAUUGGGGGAAAAAAACGUAAUAAUUCCAUAUUAAUAUGUGUUUGUGAUUUAUGCUUUCAUUCAAUAAUACUUUAUAUUCAUGAUAAUGCUUUACAUUUCUACAUUCUUUUCCUCAAAACUAAAAAUUUCUGUUUCACCUGAAUGACUUGCAUACAUGAAAUGUUUUUUUCUUUUCUAAAAUGAGUUGGCAAACUCUUCAACCAACCACUGGAACACAAAUAAAAAAAAAUCUCCGAAUAAAGUCACGUCUCUUCUCUGGAGUGACAGUAGUUCUGUUUCCGUGUUUGCAGAACCACACGCUGCUGUGUAUCAUAAAAGCAACACAUUCGUUUUCAUUUCCUGUAGAUUGACAAUUACACAAUGAUAAAAUGUGGUGCUGCAUGGAAACAGAACCAUGUGACGGUGAACACAAAAGCACAGUGUGGCUGUUAAGAGAAUUACAACUCAAUUUCAAACAUUUAGCAUACACAUACAUUGCUUUCAUUCUCGAUUUGUUUUUUUAUUCAUGUGCAGAAAAUUGUUUUAACCCUAUUUUUGCCUUUACAGCUAUGCAACUGUGUGCUAUGUAAAAUUAGCUCCUUUUACUCAACAACAUGAGUAAAAAUAGAAACUUGAUAUUGCAUUUGUGUAUUAGUAUUUUUCUACAUAAUAAAAAAGUGAAAUUAA